UUUCAUUCUGUUGUAUUAGUGCUAUAAAUGUUACUGUAAAUUCUUUUUUCUAGAAGGCAUUUUAUAAAGAUUUCUUAUGUGCAUCAGUUCUAAAAAAAAACAUUUCCUCUGAACAGACACAGAGAGACUGAUUUACAGACUCAGGACGGCUGCCCUUUGCAGCAGGAGAAACUGGAGCAGCCACCUCACUUCAUUCAUUUACCAAAAUCCACACGGCAGCUGUAUCUUAACCUCCCAAACACUAUUAUCACCACUUCUUGUGCCGAUCAGUAAAAUGCAAGAAAGAGAAGUUGACAAUCUGUCCAUAAAACCCUUCUCAAUGUUGGAAUUCUCCAGGCAUGUCUUACCUGGAUAUAGAGGAAGACCCUAG
rnacentral:lncRNA from 12 species